AUACCCCUACAUAAUUUUUGACU
rnacentral:siRNA from 1 species